UACAUUUUUUUAAUGUUUACAAAGAGUUUCAUACCUUUAUUCCCAAUUCAAAAAUAUUUUACACAAGUUCGAUUUACAUUCAUUUGUUGAUUCUAUAAGUAAAUGAUUAUUUUACGACAUUUGCCAUAAGCGCAUGGCGAGUAAACAAAAACGUGUUGUGAUGUUGAUGACUUUCCUGACUCGCCUGUAAGGGUGACUUUGUUCAUUUGAAGCUUCGUUUUUCAUUAAAAAAUGAAGUUCAGCAAGUACAAACAUCGUCAUAAACUACGGCCAAAUGUAGGACCCCCUGUCUCUCAUUAUCGAUACGAUUGUAGAGCGGAUUCUGGGCCAUGGCCCGAGUCAAUAAGUUCAAGUUGAUGUUUCUGAUGGAGAUGAUUUGUAAGGAAAGAUCUUUUUCUGAAUAAUGUCUGUUACGUUGCCUUUUCGUCCUAAAGAUGAACUAAACGUGCAUGAUGCUAAAUCAACAUAAAAGUGUUUGUAAAUGAAGGAGAAAACAAGAGCCCGGAAUGCCAGGACCUAACAGCUGCCAAAGCUUGAAAUUUCUGAUGUGAUAUCAACACUAUUCAGUAUUUCAUUUGGAACAGAAAAAAUCUACAGACUGAGACACUUGUACUGAGGAAAUACCUGCUGUUGAAGAAAAACCCAAGACUUGUUUAGGUAGAAACAACAAUAUGCAGAUAGUUCAAAUUGCUGCAUCUAUUGGAGCACCCAUCGCUGUCAGGAAUUUUUCUUGAAUUUCCAGCAUUUCCAAAAAUGCACCUUGCAGGCAUGGAUUGGUUGUUGUAGCUUAACACAUGUUACAAGAUUAUUUAACCCUGAUGAGAAGUCACAAGAUGCAGUGAAUGACACUUGGGAGCAAUGAGGAGUGAGGGUUCUUUAGUGUGCCAAUAUCUGCUGUUCCAACCUUUACUCUCUCAACCAAAAGACCUCCAACUUAACAGAACCAGAAUAUAUGAUUAGCCACUGGGAAAAUUUUUACAAACUUUUCAUAUGUAACAAUAUUGCAAGUUUUUAGUGUUGUUCUACAUGUAAACAGCAUAUAAAUCAUUUUUUAGAUAUACGUACAGAUGUGAUGAAAUAAUUAGGAACUCUAGUUAGUGUACGGUUAGUUUUAUCCCACUUGUACAGUGUAUAUAUGUUAUAUCUCAUAAAAAAAACUAGUUAAAAAAAUCAAAGUCUGUUUAUAAGGUAACAGCUAAUACAUGUAGCUAUUUAAAAUGAC